GACGAACGCUGGCGGCGUGCCUAAUACAUGCAAGUAGAACGCUGAAGAGAGGAGCUUGCUCUUCUUGGAUGAGUUGCGAACGGGUGAGUAACGCGUAGGUAACCUGCCUUGUAGCGGGGGAUAACUAUUGGAAACGAUAGCUAAUACCGCAUAACAAUGGAUGACACAUGUCAUUUAUUUGAAAGGGGCAAUUGCUCCACUACAAGAUGGACCUGCGUUGUAUUAGCUAGUAGGUGAGGUAACGGCUCACCUAGGCGACGAUACAUAGCCGACCUGAGAGGGUGAUCGGCCACACAGGGACUGAGACACGGCCCAGACUCCUACGGGAGGCAGCAGUAGGGAAUCUUCGGCAAUGGGGGCAACCCUGACCGAGCAACGCCGCGUGAGUGAAGAAGGUUUUCGGAUCGUAAAGCUCUGUUGUAAGUCAAGAACGAGUGUGAGAGUGGAAAGUUCACACUGUGACGGUAGCUUACCAGAAAGGGACGGCUAACUACGUG
rnacentral:rRNA from 1 species